AUCGACGGGUGACGACGUCAACACUUCCUUAUACAGCACUGGGAGCCAAGAUGAUGUAGACAGCGACGACAGCACGGAUAAGCGUCGAAAACAAAAGCCUGAGUUCAGCGGCGUUUGCAUGAUGGGAAUGGGUGAGCGAUACAGAAAGUCACGGCGAUCUACAGCUAUGUUCAUGGACGUCACAUGGGAUAUCAAU